rnacentral:rRNA from 1 species
AUGUUCCACUGGCAGGCCAGUAUCAUGGGACCCUUGGACAGCCCGUUUACUGGUGGCCUAUUUUUGGUGAACAUCCAUUUCCCACUGGAUUAUCCCUUCAAGCCCCCAAAGGUCUCUUUCCGCACCAAGGUGUUCCACUUCCACUUUCACCCAAACAUUAACAGCAACGGCAACAUUUGCCUUGACAUUCUCAAGGAACAGUGGAGCCCGACUUUGACCAUAUCAAAGGCCCUCCUGUCAAUCUAUUUGUUGCUGACGGACCCCAACCCCAAUGAUCCUCUGGUGCCUGAGAUUGCUCACAUGUACAAGACUGAUUAG